rnacentral:rRNA from 1 species
AGCGAACGCUGGCGGUAGGCCUAACACAUGCAAGUCGAACGGCAGCACAGUAAGAGCUUGCUCUUACGGGUGGCGAGUGGCGGACGGGUGAGGAAUACAUCGGAAUCUACUUUUUCGUGGGGGAUAACGUAGGGAAACUUACGCUAAUACCGCAUACGACCUACGGGUGAAAGCAGGGGAUCUUUGGACCUUGUGCGAUUGAAUGAGCCGAUGUCGGAUUAGCUAGUUGGCGGGGUAAAGGCCCACCAAGGCGACGAUCCGUAGCUGGUCUGAGAGGAUGAUCAGCCACACUGGAACUGAGAAACGGUCCAGACUCCUACGGGAGGCAGCAGUGGGGAAUAUUGGACAAUGGGCGCAAGCCUGAUCCAGCCAUACCGCGUGGGUGAAGAAGGCCUUCGGGUUGUAAAGCCCUUUUGUUGGGAGAGAAGAGCAGCAGGUUAAUACGCCGCUGUUCUGACGGUACCCAAAGAAUAAGCACCGGCUAACUUCGUG